rnacentral:rRNA from 1 species
UUUGAAGUGUGGACGCCAGUCUGCAUGGAGCCGACCUUGAAAUACCACCCUUUAAUGUUUGAUGUUCUAACGUGGACCCGUGAUCCGGGUUGCGGACAGUGUCUGGUGGGUAGUUUGACUGGGGCGGUCUCCUCCUAAAGAGUAACGGAGGAGCACGAAGGUUGGCUAAUCCUGGUCGGACAUCAGGAGGUUAGUGCAAUGGCAUAAGCCAGCUUGACUGCGAGCGUGACGGCGCGAGCAGGUGCGAAAGCAGGUCAUAGUGAUCCGGUGGUUCUGAAUGGAAGGGCCAUCGCUCAACGGAUAAAAGGUACUCCGGGGAUAACAGGCUGAUACCGCCCAAGAGUUCAUAUCGACGGCGGUGUUUGGCACCUCGAUGUCGGCUCAUCACAUCCUGGGGCUGAAGUAGGUCCCAAGGGUAUGGCUGUUCGCCAUUUAAAGUGGUACGCGAGCUGGGUUUAGAACGUCGUGAGACAGUUCGGUCCCUAUCUGCCGUGGGCGCUGGAGAACUGAGGGGGGCUGCUCCUAGUACGAGAGGACCGGAGUGGACGCAUCACUGGUGUUCGGGUUGUCAUGCCAAUGGCACUGCCCGGUAGCUAAAUGCGGAAGAGA